GUAAUUAUGUGUAGUUUGCCCAAACAUCCCGAGGCAUAGGUACACAGGCCGCAACUGCUCCGCUACUGCUUGUGGUUCUGUGGUUCCUGAUGGUCACAAAUAGAGAAGCCUUCUCGAGUAGACCAGUGUAUCCCUUAUCCAGCAUCCAUAAUAUUUGGGUACGUGUAUAAAACAUUAUUGCUUGAAAUGUGCCUAAGAAAUUAGAGAUUUAGAGAUUUGGAGAUUAAUGUGUUGUAAAAUCAUUGCAUAGCAAGUGCUUAUGGAGAUUAUUUCUCCUUGAUUAAAUUUUUAUGCCUUUCAUAUUUUUAUGCCAUUAAUGUACUUGUAAAUUCGCAGCAAAAACAUUUCUAUGGAACAAAUCAAUGGAAAUUGAGGUUUAUAGAGCCAGUAAAGCAAUUUCUCAUGAUAAGAGAUAACCAAGGAUAAGGAGAGAUGGUUAUUUCAAAUAAUUAAAUAAUUGAAUAUUGGAUUCAUAGUCAUUGUAUAUUUGUAAAUAAAUUAAU